CUAUGUGAUGUUUCAAAGUGUAACUUAAAUAACUUUGUUACGGAAAAUGUUCAGCCUACUCAAGAAAAUGACUGUAAGGAAUGUGAACUCUUUAGUAUAAGAUUUCCAAAUUAAUGUUGGAGGAAUGGAAUGUAUGUCUAAUGUCACUGUCAUUGACUCAGUAAUAAACUAGCUACGGAACA
rnacentral:lncRNA from 1 species